UGGAACGUAGCUCUGUUGGUGGAGCGGUAGAUUUUCACUCUAUUGGUUACAGGUUCGAAUCCUGUCGUUCCAA
rnacentral:tRNA from 1 species